AGAGUUUGAUCCUGGCUCAGGACGAACGCUGGCGGCGCGCCUAAUACAUGCAAGUCGAGCGAGAACCAGGACUUCGGUCCUGGGGAGAGCGGCGAACGGGUGCGUAUCACGUGAGCAACCUGCCUCGGAGACCGGAAUAACUCGAGGAAACUCGGGCUAAUGCCGGAUGCCCUCGGUGGACCGCAUGGUCCGGCGAGGAAAUGGAUUCCGCUCCGAGAUGGGCUCGCGGCCUAUCAGCUUGUUGGUGGGGUAACGGCCUACCAAGGCAACGACGGGUAGCUGGUCUGAGAGGACGAUCAGCCACACUGGGACUGAGACACGGCCCAGACUCCUACGGGAGGCAGCAGUAGGGAAUCUUGCGCAAUGGGGGAAACCCUGACGCAGCGACGCCGCGUGCGGGAUGAAGGCCUUCGGGUCGUAAACCGCUUUCAGCAGGGACGAAAUUGACGGUACCUGCAGAAGAAGGCCCGGCCAACUACGUGCCAGCAGCCGCGGUGAUACGUAGGGGUCUAGCGUUGUCCGGAAUUAUUGGGCGUAAAGAGCUCGUAGGCGGUUCGGCAAGUCGGAUGUGAAAUCUCCACGCUUAACGUGGAGGGGCCAUUCGAAACUGCCGUGACUCGAGUCCGGUAGGGGAGUUCGGAAUUCCCGGUGUAGCGGUGAAAUGCGCAGAUAUCGGGAGGAACACCAGUGGCGAAGGCGGAACUCUGGGCCGGAACUGACGCUGAGGAGCGAAAGCGUGGGGAGCGAACAGGAUUAGAUACCCUAGUAGUCC
rnacentral:rRNA from 1 species